GUGGCCCAAGUCAGGCAGAG
rnacentral:rRNA from 1 species